GUCUGGGAUGUGAGGAGUGCCUCUGCCCGGCCGCGACCCCGUCUGGGAGGUGAGGAGCGUCUCUGCCCGGCCACCCCAUCUGAGAAGUGAGGAGCCCCUCUGCCCGGCAGCCGCCCUGAGGAGUGAGGAGCCCCUCCGCCUGGCAGCCGCCCCGUCUGAGAAGUGAGGAGCCCCUCCACCCGGCAGUUGCCCUGUCUGGCCAUAGACUCUCCAACUCCUGCAACUGUCUGGAAUUUCUUCUCUCUCCAAUCCAUCUCUAGUAUUGAUGACAUAG
rnacentral:antisense_RNA from 1 species